rnacentral:lncRNA from 1 species
UCAUUCUCUAGACUCAGCAAGGCCUGAAGGGAUUGUCUCAGGCUCCUCCACUCCAGCCUUCUAAGGGCCCAAAGUGGUUCAGAGGGGACGCUCUCAGCGUUCCUUCUCUUCCAACAGCUGUGACAACCUCUGACUCAUGCCUGGGACAAUUUCUCUCAGUUCUGGUGUACCUCCAGUCCUCUGUGUGAGCACUUGAUGAAGAACCCUGAGAAAGAGUGGACAGGGUGCUGUAUUGUCAGCACAUUCUACAGUUAUUCUUGAGAACUACAAGUGAGAAAGAGGGGAGAACUGGAUCAGUCCAAGGCCACCUGGGGAACUGUCCUACACAGGGAAGGAUGAAAGCAGGUCGUUGAUCCAUGACAGCUGAGGUGCCAGGUAAGUUGCAUGCUUGUGGUUGACCACAGACGAUAUAUGCUUACUUCACUCGGGGGGAAGGAGGGGGACAGUCUAAUAGGCCAGUAUUGGCACGGGGAAGGAAGAGGAUGCAUCCAGUACCCUCCUAUAGUGAGUCCUGAAAAGCAGAAAGAAAG